GUGGGGGAUAUUGCGCAAUGGGGGAAACCCUGACGCAGCAACGCCGCGUGAAGGAAGAAGGUUUUCGGAUCGUAAACUUCUGUUCUUAGGGAAGAAGAAAGUGACGGUACCUAAGGAGCAAGCCACGGCUAACUACGUGCCAGCAGCCGCGGUAAUACGUAGGUGGCAAGCGUUGUCCGGAUUUACUGGGUGUAAAGGGCGCGUAGGCGGGAUAUCAAGUCAGUCGUGAAAUACCGGGGCUCAACUCCGGGGCUGCGAUUGAAACUGAUAUUCUUGAGUAUCGGAGAGGAAAGCGGAAUUCCUAGUGUAGCGGUGAAAUGCGUAGAUAUUAGGAGGAACACCAGUGGCGAAGGCGGCUUUCUGGACGACAACUGACGCUGAGGCGCGAAAGUGUGGGGAGCAAACAGG
rnacentral:rRNA from 1 species